rnacentral:tRNA from 8 species
GCCGAUGUGGCUCAGGGGUAGAGCAGCUCACUCGUAAUGAGCAGGUCGUCGGUUCGAUUCCGACCAUCGGCUCCA